GGAUUGACUGCAAUGGCUGCAGUACAGCCUGCAAAACAGCCAGCAAGGAAGGAGAUGUGACACGGAGCUGAACCAUCAGCGUUCCUCCUGCCCAAGCUAUUCAGAUCUCUGGAGAGUUGGAGGGCCGUGGGUGUCUUCAGCUGAACAACAUUCACUUUGGCUCGGCCUCCUCCGGCAUGCUGGCCGAUGAGCUUCCUCUGGGCCUCUGUCAGAGACAUACGUGCUGCAUGAAAACUGAAAGAUGCUCAAGGAUACAGAGUGAGUUUCUGUAAGCAUGGCAACUGCUGACUACACUACAAACAUCACAAUGUUUUCUGGGCUUCAAAAGCACGUGCAGCGAAUUCAGGGAAUCGUCACUUCAGAGCGGCGGGAUGCAGGAUCAAAGACGCGCUGUGACACGCCAUCAAAGCCGCUCACAUUCACCCUGGCCUGCACUAGUAGUAAGAAUCAGAAGAACACCAGAGACAAUGCCAGCAUCCGCUCGGCUCUCUAUUCUGUAUUCAGAGGAUCCUCUAGAGGCCGUGUGGUGUGUGAAAGCUUGAUAAAAGUAGAUUUUGUGUGUGUGUGUGUUGGGAAAAUGACAUGUGACACUCUUGCUUUUGUUCAUCCUUCUUAAUUCUGCUCAUUGAAAUGAUACUCGCCUGACCCAGCCUUAAUCUUUGUGCCUUUUGUGAAUAAUGCAACCAUGUCACUCUGUUUCUGUGUGUGUGAGAGAAAGGGGCAUUACAUAACUUACUAAGAUAUGAAUCUAAAAUCCACAUGAAUUAUUGGUACUUCCCACAAGCAGUGUAAAAAAAUACGCCUCGACACUCUUGAAAAAUGAUGUCAAACUUGUUUUCUUAUUCAACAGAGUGUGAAAUAUGAAAAGAGGUGUAGGUUUUAGCUAAACCUGCUGAAAAUUGUGUUUUUCUACAGUAACUAAACAUCACGUUGUUAUUUUUUCUGCUUAAUAUCUAAA